rnacentral:rRNA from 1 species
CCUACGGGAGGCAGCAGUGGGGAAUAUUGCACAAUGGGGGAAACCCUGAUGCAGCGACGCCGCGUGAGUGAAGAAGUAAUUCGUUAUGGAAAGCUCUAUCAGCAGGGAAGCAAAUGACGGUACCUGUGUAAGGAGCCCCGGCUAACUACGUGCCAGCAGCCGCGGUAAUACGUAGGGGGCAAGCGUUAUCCGGAUUUACUGGGGGUAAAGGGGGCGUAGACGGCAGUGCAAGUCUGGAGUGAAAGGCGGGGGCUCAACCCCCGGACUGCCCUGGAAACUGUACGGCUGGAGUGCAGGAGAGGUAAGUGGAAUUCGUAGUGUAGCGGUGAAAUGCGUAGAUAUUAGGAGGAACACCAGUGGCGAAGGCGGCGUACUGGACUGUAACUGACGUUGAGGCUCGAAAGCGUGGGGAGCAAACAGGAUUAGAUACCCCAGUAGUC